ensembl:misc_RNA Y_RNA Y RNA
AGCCGGUCUGAGUGCAGUGGUGUUUACAACUAAUUAUCACAACCGGUUGCAGAUUUCUUUGUUUUGUUUUGGUUUGGUUUCUCCACUCCCACUGCUUCACCUGAUUAGCCUUUU